ensembl:lncRNA
GUGUGGACACUAGGUGUAAUGUAACAGUGUGGACACUAGGUGUAAUGUAACAGUGUGGACACCAGGUGUAAUGUAACAGUGUGGACACCAGGUGUAAUGUAACAGUGUGGAUGCCAGGUGUAAUGUAACAGUGUGGAUGCCAGGUGUAAUGUAACAGUGUGGACGCCAGGUGUAAUGUAACAUUGUGGACACUAGGUGUAAUGUAACAGUGUGGAUGCCAGGUGUAAUGUAACAGUGUGGACGCCAGGUGUAAUGUAACAGUGUGGAUGCCAGGUGUAAUGUAACAGUGUGGACGCCAGGUGUAAUGUAACAUUGUGGAUGCCAGGUGUAAUGUAAGUGUGGAUGCCAGGUGUAAUGUAACAUUGUGGAUGCCAGGUGUAAUGUAAGUGUGGAUGCCAGGUGUAAUGUAAGUGUGGAUGCCAGGUGUAAUGUAAGUGUGGAUGCCAGGUGUAAUGUAACAGUGUGGACGCUAGGUGUAGCAAUUGUCUCCCAUAUGGAAAUAACUCUGAACCAUGCCAAUGUUCUGCCAACCAUGUCUUGUCAAUAUCUCCUAGUUGUCUUAUGUGGGAUUUUCUUCAUCACUUUAGGGGACCUCUAUCUAACCACAGAGUUACCGCCCAGGGGUUCAUCGUUUGUUUUAUUCCUCUGCUAACAAGCAGGAUGUACACAUGGAAGGAGAAUAACUUUCACCCUAAUUGAUGUCACUAAUAAUAUCACACUCCAAAACAUGUAUGCUAACGAAAGCAAUGAAACGCUUCCUGGACAUGUCACGGUGGAAUACCUAAUCACUCACUCUAAACACUCCGAAUUACCAUCAGGAAUGACCAUCUGAAACAUAACUGAUCAAUUCAUCCAUAAUCAUGUGAUAAUCCAUAAACGUGCACCAUAUGGAUGACCCCUUUAACCAGACAGUUAUGUUUGAAAAACAUCUGUUUCAGGAAUGCCAGCUCAUCAAAAUAUGCAUGUUCAGCACAUCAUUCAUGACAUCAUCUGGAUGAUUACAUCUACAUAUAUCUUCAUUCUAAAGGACACAUAUCGAAACAAAUUGAAGUCUCUCCAUUUUAUGAUUACCUUCACACAAUCAUACACACAUUCUGUGUUUCACUUCUCAUCUGACAUAAUCUCUAUGCUCACUCUGAUCAGCACUGUGUAAUCUGUGUAAUCCAUCUCUGUUUAACUCACAUGCCUCCUCCUUCAUGCAGUACCCUGUGUGUGUCUGUAGGGGGUGCUGGCUCUGGUCCUGGUAGUGCUCUGCCUUAUGGGGGCCAGCCUGUGGUCCCUGCUGGGCUGUGGCCUGAUGGUGGGAAGUUGGGCGAGUACGGCCCAGAGCCCUAUGGGUUUGCAUAGCCUAUGGGGCUGGGGCAUGAUACUGGCCUGGGUAAAUACACUCUAAAGAGAGGGGAGGGUGAACAAAGGAAGAACAAGAGAAAAUAGAGGCAGAAAAAGGACUGAAAAAACUGAGUGGUCAGGAAAAAUAAAGAGGUAGAGAAAGGGUGAAAAGUAGAGAUGGAGAGAAGAGAAAGAUUAGACAAAGAAAAAAGCAAGUCCGUGAUGAACACUGAAGCAGCAACAGAGGGACUCAAAGGUCA